rnacentral:rRNA from 1 species
UACGGGGGGGGCAAGCGUUGUUCGGAAUUACUGGGCGGAAAGGGCUCGUAGGCGGCCAACUAAGUCAGACGUGAAAUCCCUCGGCUUAACCGGGGAACUGCGUCUGAUACUGGAUGGCUUGAGAUUGGGAGAGGGAUGCGGAAUUCCAGGUGUAGCGGUGAAAUGCGUAGAUAUCUGGAGGAACACCGGUGGCGAAGGCGACAUCCUGGACCAACACUGACGCUGAUGCGCGAAAGCCAGGGGAGCAAACGGG